rnacentral:rRNA from 1 species
CUCAGGAUGAACGCUAGCUACAGGCUUAACACAUGCAAGUCGAGGGGCAGCAUUGGAGUAGCAAUACUCAGAUGGCGACCGGCGCACGGGUGAGUAACACGUAUCCAACCUGCCGCUUACUCGGGGAUAGCCUUUCGAAAGAAAGAUUAAUACCCGAUGGUAUAAAGAGUUCGCAUGUUCUCUUUAUUAAAGAAUUUCGGUAAGCGAUGGGGAUGCGUUCCAUUAGAUAGUUGGCGGGGUAACGGCCCACCAAGUCUACGAUGGAUAGGGGUUCUGAGAGGAAGGUCCCCCACAUUGGAACUGAGACACGGUCCAAACUCCUACGGGAGGCAGCAGUGAGGAAUAUUGGUCAAUGGACGAGAGUCUGAACCAGCCAAAGUAGCGUGAAGGAUGACUGCCCUAUGGGUUGUAAACUUCUUUUAUAAGGGAAUAAAGUGAGGGACGUGUCCCUUUUUGUAUGUACCUUAUGAAUAAGGAUCGGCUAACUCCGUGCCAGCCGCGGC